rnacentral:rRNA from 1 species
UACGGAGGGAGCUAGCGUUGUUCGGAAUUACUGGGCGUAAAGCGCACGUAGGCGGCUAUUCAAGUCAGGGGUGAAAGCCCGGGGCUCAACCCCGGAACUGCCUUUGAAACUAGGUAGCUAGAAUCUUGGAGAGGUCAGUGGAAUUCCGAGUGUAGAGGUGAAAUUCGUAGAUAUUCGGAAGAACACCAGUGGCGAAGGCGACUGACUGGACAAGUAUUGACGCUGAGGUGCGAAAGCGUGGGGAGCAAACAGG